rnacentral:rRNA from 1 species
AUACGGAGGGAGCAAGCGUUAUUCGGAAUCACUGGGCGUAAAGGACGCGUUGGCGGGUUUGUAAGUCAGGUGUGAAAUCCUACAGCUCAACUGUAGAACUGCACUUGAAACUACAUACCUAGAGUAUGGAAGGGGCAGAUGGAAUUAGUGGUGUAGGGGUAAAAUCCGUAGAUAUCACUAGGAAUACCGAAAGCGAAGGCGAUCUGCUGGGACAUUACUGACGCUGAGGCGUGAAAGCGUGGGGAGCAAACAGGAUUAGAAACCCUAGUAGUCC